rnacentral:rRNA from 1 species
GAUCAUGGCUCAGGAUGAACGCUAGCGACAGGCCUAACACAUGCAAGUCGAGGGGCAGCGAAGAGGUAGCAAUACCUUUGCCGGCGACCGGCGCACGGGUGAGUAACACGUAUGCAAUCCACCUGUAACAGGGGGAUAACCCGGAGAAAUCCGGACUAAUACCCCAUAAUAUGGGCGCUCCGCAUGGAGAGCCCAUUAAAGAGAGCAAUUUUGGUUACAGACGAGCAUGCGUUCCA